UACGUAGGGUCCGAGCGUUGUCCGGAAUUACUGGGCGUAAAGAGCUCGUAGGCGGUCUGUCGCGUCUGGUGUGAAAAUCCAGGGCUUAACCCUGGACCUGCAUCGGGUACGGGCAGACUAGAGUGCGGUAGGGGAGAUCGGAAUUCCUGGUGUAGCGGUGAAAUGCGCAGAUAUCAGGAGGAACACCGGUGGCGAAGGCGGGACUCUGGGCCGAUACUGACGCUGAGGAGCGAAAGCGUGGGGAGCAAACAGG
rnacentral:rRNA from 1 species